CCUACGGGAGGCAGCAGUAAGGAAUCUUCCACAAUGGACGAAAGUCUGAUGGAGCAACGCCGCGUGCAGGAUGAAGGCUUUCGGGUCGUAAACUGCUUUUAUAUGGGAAGAUUAUGACGGUACCAUAUGAAUAAGGACCGGCUAACUACGUGCCAGCAGCCGCGGUAAUACGUAGGGUCCAAGCGAUAUCCGGAAUUACUGGGCGUAAAGCGUGUGUAGGUGGAUUAAUAAGUGUGAUGCGAAAUCCGGCGGCUCAACCGUUUGGACUGUGUCGCAUACUGUUAGUCUAGAGGACGGCAGAGGUAAGUGGAAUUACGGGUGUAGCAGUGAAAUGCGUAGAUAUCCGUAGGAACACCAAUGGCGAAGGCAGCUUACUGGGCCACACCUGACACUGAGACACGAAAGCGUGGGGAGCGAACAGGAUUAGAUACCCUGGUAGUCCACGCCGUAAACGAUGCAUACUAUUAGUAUGGGGUAUCGACCCCCUGUGCUGAGAAGCUAACGCGAUAAGUAUGCCGCCUGGGGAGUACGAGCGCAAGCUUAAAACUUAAAGGAAUUGACGG
rnacentral:rRNA from 1 species